AUCUGUGUGUGUGUGUGUGUGUGUGUGUGAUGGAUCUGGAUCUGUGUGUGUGUGUGUGUGUGUGUGUGUGAUGGAUCUGGAUCUGUGUGUGUGUGUGUGUGUUAAUGGUGUUCCUUCCCAGGCGGUACACUGUUUCUGUGUUGGAGUGGCACAGAGAUCUGAGUGCACCCUUGAUGCCCACCGCCACGUCAGACCACAACGGCAUCACUCACAUCGCGACCACAAGCUGAAACUGGACAUCUGCUACCAUAGAAACCGCCAUGACUGUUGACCUGUUGGGUCUAGUCCAGGUCAGCCUCAGGUCUGAAGGUCUCACCGCUGUGGGAUAUUCAGCCUCAGGUCUGAAGGUCUCACCGCUGUGGGAUAUUCAGCCUCAGGUCUGAAGGUCUCACUGCUGUGCUGUGGGAUAUUCAGCCUCAGGUCUGAAGGUCUCACCGCUGUGGGAUAUUCAGCCUCAGGUCUGAAGGUCUCACUGCUGUGCUGUGGGAUAUUCAGCCUCAGGUCUGAAGGAUGUUCAGAGAUGUUCAGUUGAUUUCUGGGAUUCCUUUCUCUUCCGAUCUCAUCAGUGAGAUGUGAUGUUCACUGAGAGCAGGGUUCCUUCCCAAGCAUAGAACCAGACUUCACUGAGAGCAGGGUUCCUUCCCAAGCAUAGAACCAGACUUCACUGAGAGGAGAGUUCCGUGCUCAAGCAUAGAACCAGACUUCACUGAGAGGAGAGUUCCGUGCUCAAGAAUAGAACUGGAGUUAAUAGAGAUCAGUGCGCACUCAAGCAAGAACCAGACUUCAUUGGUAGUUCCAUGCUCAAACAUAGAACCCGAAGUGAACAGAGUUUCAUGCUCAAGCAUAGAACCAGACUUCAGUGAGAGAGCAUCAAGUUCCGUGCUCAUGUUUGUUAGUUUGUAAUCCUCCUUGUGUUCCUGCUGAGGCUCAGCGCCUAGCCUAGCGUAGCCUAGCCUAGCCUAGCGCUGCUAAGUGUCCUUACGGCUUAGCUUUGCUGUAGGAAUCUAGCAGGGACAGUCUUUGUACAUAACCAAAGGAAACACUGUAAACAUUGCUAUGUGAUGUGGGAAUAUGAUUUGUACAUAAUUUGACACCCAAUAAAAGCCUACCUGUGGUAAUGAU